rnacentral:pre_miRNA from 1 species
CUUGUACUCCUCCGUCUGGAAUUACUUGUUGCACAAAUGGAUAAAAGUGGAUGUAUUUAGAACUAAAAUACAUCUAGAUACAUCCAUUUCUUUGACAAGUAUUUCCGGAUGGAGGGAGUAUGUA